GAGGUAAUGGCUCACCAAGACGACGACGGGUAGCCGGCCUGAGAGGGCGACCGGCCACACUGGGACUGAGACACGGCCCAGACUCCUACGGGAGGCAGCAGUGGGGAAUAUUGCACAAUGGGGGAAACCCUGAUGCAGCGACGCAGCGUGCGGGAUGACGGCCUUCGGGUUGUAAACCGCUUUCAGCAGGGAAGAAGCCCCUUGGGGUGACGGUACCUGCAGAAGAAGUACCGGCUAACUACGUGCCAGCAGCCGCGGUAAUACGUAGGGUACAAGCGUUGUCCGGAAUUAUUGGGCGUAAAGAGCUCGUAGGUGGUUGGUCACGUCUGCUGUGGAAACGCAACGCUUAACGUUGCGCGUGCAGUGGGUACGGGCUGACUAGAGUGCAGUAGGGGAGUCUGGAAUUCCUGGUGUAGCGGUGAAAUGCGCAGAUAUCAGGAGGAACACCGGUGGCGAAGGCGGGACUCUGGGCUGUAACUGACACUGAGGAGCGAAAGCAUGGGGAGCGAACAGGAUUAGAUACCCUGGUAGUCCAUGCCGUAAACGUUGGGCACUAGGUGUGGGGGACAUUCCACGUUCUCCGCGCCGUAGCUAACGCAUUAAGUGCCCCGCCUGGGGAGUACGGUCGCAAGGCUAAAAACUCAAAGGAAUUGACGGGGGCCCGCACAAGCGGCGGAGCAUGCGGAUUAAUUCGAUGCAACGCGAAGAACCUUACCAAGGCUUGACAUACACCAGACCGUCCUGGAAACAGGUCCUCCUCUUUGAGGUUGGUGUACAGGUGGUGCAUGGUUGUCGUCAGCUCGUGUCGUGAGAUGUUGGGUUAAGUCCCGCAACGAGCGCAACCCUCGUUCUAUGUUGCCAGCACGUAAAGGUGGGAACUCAUAGGAGACUGCCGGGGUCAACUCGGAGGAAGGUGGGGAUGACGUCAAAUCAUCAUGCCCUUUAUGUCUUGGGCUUCACGCAUGCUACAAUGGCUGGUACAGAGAGAUGCGAGACCGCGAGGUUUUAGCGAAUCCCUUAAAGCCAGUCUCAGUUCGGAUCGUAGUCUGCAAUUCGACUACGUGAAGUCGGAGUCGCUAGUAAUCGCAGAUCAGCAACGCUGCGGUGAAUACGUUCCCGGGCCUUGUACACACCGCCCGUCAAGUCACGAAAGUCGGUAACACCCGAAGCCGGUGGCCCAACCCUUGUGGAGGGGGCCGUCU
rnacentral:rRNA from 1 species